AUGUACUACUUUGAUAAUCCUGAGAAAACCCCAUUCAACUUUAUAAUGGGAGACACAUUGGAUCAACGUGAAUACUUUAGGGAUUAUUGCUCGACACAAAAAGGUAAACUAUUAUGGGAUCAAUUUAUUAUGUUGCAUUGGUAUGCCUGGAAUCUAUGCUUGAGAUAUGAUAUUACUUGUUGCUCUAGGAUGGAGGCUCCACACCUUCCCUUUUCAUGCAAAUUUAAUGAUAAUGAAACCUUAGCUUCUUAUGCUAAUGGUAUAUAUGAUUACUAUGAUGUGGAACAACUAGAAGAAUUUGUUGCUUUUAAGGUUGCUUAUGAAAUUGAAGCUUUGUUUGAAAAGUAUGAAGCUUUUGAUGAUGAUGGUUAUAGGCCUGAAAAUCUUGUUAUGCUUAGAUAUUGCUAUGAAAAUUAUGAAUACAAUUACUAUAUUAAUGCUUUUAUGAAGAAAGUCUCCGCUGUCCAAGAAGAGAUUAAUAUUUUGCAGGAAGCUAUGGAAGAAGAAAUUGAUGAAACUGUGAGCUCAUUGGAUGAAAAAGAUGACGAGGAGAGCGAAGAACAAAAGGAGGAAGAGCGGAUUAGCUACCCGUGCCCACCUUCUAAUGAGAGUAACCCUCCAACUCAUACAUUAUUUGAUUCCCCUUCGUGCUUACCGAAGGAUGAUUGCUAUGAUGAUUGCUAUGAUCCCUUGAAUUUGCUUGAAAUUUCCCUUUUUGAUGAUGCUUGCUAUGCUUGUGGCCAAGAUGCCAAUAUGAAUUAUGCUUAUGGAGAUGAACUUGCUAUAGUUCCUUAUGUUAAACAUGAAAUUGUUGCUAUUGCACCCACGCAUGAUAGUCCUAUUAUCUUUUUGAAUUCUCCCUACUACACUGUAUCGGAGAAGUUUGUGCUUAUUAAGGAUUAUAUUGAUGGGUUGCCUUUUACCAUUGCACAUGAUGAUUUUGAUAGAUAUAAUAUGCAUGUGCUUGCUGCUCCUACUUGCAAUUAUUAUGAGAGAGGAACUACAUCUCCACCUCUCUAUGUUUCCAAUACGAUAAAAUUGCAAGAAACUGUUUAUACUAUGCAUUGGCCUUUACUAUGUGUGCAUGAAUUGUUCUUUUAUGACAUGCCGAUGCAUAGGAAGAGAGUUAGACUUUGUUGUUGCAUGAUAUAUGUUACUUUGUGCUCACUACUAAAUUACAAAUCAUUGUUAGUUAAAAUUGGCUUUGAUAUACCUUGGGAUCCGGGUGGAUUCAUUACUUGA
rnacentral:rRNA from 1 species